rnacentral:misc_RNA from 1 species
UAGGGGUUGGACUCGUUGAAG